AAGUGGAGCAAUCCAUGGGUAAAGUGGCGACCGGGUGAGUAACACGUGACUACCUACCCUUGAGUGGGGGAUAACCUCGGGAAACCGAGGCUAAUACCGCAUAAUAUCGAGAGAUCAAAGGAGCAAUCCGCUUUUGGAGGGGGUCGCGGCUGAUUAGCUAGUUGGUAGGGUAAUGGCCUACCAAGGCGAAGAUCGGUAUCCGGCCUGAGAGGGCGCACGGACACACUGGAACUGAAACACGGUCCAGACUCCUACGGGAGGCAGCAGUGGGGAAUUUUGCGCAAUGGGGGAAACCCUGACGCAGCAACGCCGCGUGGAGGAUGAAGCCCCUUGGG
rnacentral:rRNA from 1 species